GAGCGUUGUUCGGAAUUAUUGGGUGUAAAGAGCUCGUAGGCGGUUUGUCGCGUCGGCUGUGAAAUCCCGAGGCUCAACCUCGGGCCUGCAGUCGAUACGGGCAAACUAGAGUGUGGUAGGGGAGACUGGAAUUCCUGGUGUAGCGGUGAAAUGCGCAGAUAUCAGGAGGAACACCGGCGGCGAAGGCGGGUCUCUGGGCCAUAACUGACGCUGAGGAGCGAAAGCGUGGGGAGCGAACAGG
rnacentral:rRNA from 1 species